rnacentral:rRNA from 1 species
UAAGACAGAGGGUGCAAACGUUGUUCGGAAUUACUGGGCAUAAAGAGCACGUAGGUGGUUCGCUAAGUUACGUGUGAAAUCCCCCGGCUCAACCGGGGAAUUGCGCGUGAUACUGGCGGACUCGAGGCGGGUAGGGGUGAGCGGAACUCCAGGUGGAGCGGUGAAAUGCGUAGAUAUCUGGAGGAACACCGGUGGCGAAAGCGGCUCACUGGACCCGAUCUGACACUGAGGUGCGAAAGCUAGGGUAGCAAACGGGAUUAGAUACCCCGGUAGUCCUAGCCGUAAACGAUGGGCACUGGGCAGGGGGGAUACCUAUGUCCUCUCUGCCGGAGCUAAUGUGUUAAGUGCCCCGCCUGGGGAGUACGCUCGCAAGGGUA